UAGCUCAGUGGAUAGAGCAACGGUUUUCUAAACCGAAGGUCGUGGGUUCGAAUCCCA
rnacentral:tRNA from 1 species